AUGAUCCUGGUGGCCUGGCAGGUGAAGAAGACUGGAUGUCUUAACAGGGCCCUCCGAGCAGCUGCAGGUGUGCGUCACCCAGAGUCAGCAACUGCCACCAAUAGGAGAGCUGCUAGUUCUGAGGAAGAGAAAUUCCAACAGAAGUUUCAAGAUCAUAUCUCUUGGUCUACCUUGGAUCAGUCCUCAUCCUUGAACCAAUCUCAUUGGUCAGAGGCAUGGAAGACUAAACUAGAGACAAUUCCUCUCCUUUCCCAGCUCCUGACCUCUACUACCCAGGGCAGACUCAGCCUGUGGCCAGUCAUGGCCCCUGCAGAUAACUGUACAAGAACAAAAGCCUUUGCUAGCCCAAAGCUUGACUUAGGGAGCCAGUGACAAUUUAGAGGAACUGUAAAACCAUGGUUUCUGGGCCCUCAUCAGCAAGCAAAACCACCUUAAAUUAAUCAGGUGUAGACUGUACUAUCCUGAUCAAACUACCAGGCAUCUAGGAGGUGAUCACAAAUAUCAUAGUUAUUAAAGGGACAUGCUUAUGAUUCCACUGCUUACAUUUCCACCUUGCCCCAUGCCUAGAAGAGAGCAGUAUUGGAAUACACUUUUCCAGUCUCUCCCCCGACUGCCCCCAUCGUGUGCUGCUUCAGCCAGAGGAAGAGUGACUUAUCUGCUUGGUGAGAUCAGGGAGAGCCAGGCAAAUCCAGUAGGCCACAUUGGCCAAGAGCAGAAUCCUUGAGUGGGACAUGGACAUAUCUUGCUGGUUCUCUUAGACCUGCCUGGCUUCAUCUCCAACCACGAGGGAGGUCUGCUUCUCUUUAGCAGGAAUGUAGUUGGAUGUGUAUGUUCAGACUGAAGAGCCACACGAAAGAUCUUGCUACCCAGUUUUCCAGAGAGUCCUAUGCUUUGGAUACUAUAAUUGACUCUUUGAUCUCAUUUAGCUCCUUAGUUGGCUAAAACCAAGAGGGGAGAAAGCAUGAGUAAUUACCACUUCCACCCCUUCUAGCACAACAGUAGCAGCAGACGACAACGAUGAUGAUGAUGAUGAUGAUGAAGGUGGUGGUGAUGGUUACAGCGAGGUCUCUCCCAAACCCAGAAGCUGUAGGGAGUCAGGCCAGCAGUGACCAUGCUCUCUCACUUUCCCUCCCUAAGAGAACCAUCAGCCCUGAGUGUCCCCCUAUUGGGGGCUGACCCUUGUCUUCUGCAGAGAACACAAAAAUAAUUGCAAAGUGCUGUCUCCAUCCUGCAGAAGCACAGCAGUCGCUUGAGUUUGGACAUUAAAUCAUACCAGAAGACUGUAUAUCUGCCCUGGGAAGAAAGGAAGCAAUUGAAACCCAGUAUUUAAAGGCAGUCUCAGAUUUAUCCUCCCUCUUGACAGCCUACAAAACGUUGGAGAAUAGUCCCUGCCUUUCUCUGAAAGAUAAAACAGGAUCCACUGUCCAGAAAUUGGCCCUGAGAAAGUUCAUCGCUCAUUCUCAUGUGACCUUCCUAAGAAACAAAAAACUGCAGGCCAAAACUCUGAGUUUUAACAGCCUUCUACUUUCACUCAUUUUCCAAGCAAGUGCUGUGUUGCCUUCUCAGCAUCCCACGAUGUUCCACUUUUUGUGCAUUUCCUUUCUUGUUUUUUUCACCAACAAGGCAGCAGCACUGAUUUUUGUGCAUUUUCAUGGAGAUACAUCUCACCUACUGGCUUUGUUCAACCCACGCCCCACGCUUAACCAGCAGACCUCCAUGACCCCGGAAGAGAUUUUGAAGGCCAAAUAUUUUGGCUUGUUUCCAUUCAGAAAGCUUCCCUAUUGUUUGGACAUUAAUAAACUAAAAUCCAAAGUCCUCAACCAAUUACCUCACCUCCUAAUCUAACUUUGGGAGUUUGCUGGCUCCAUGUCAAGCCGAUUACUGACGAAAGGCAAUCAGUCAUCAUGCCUUGUCUGUGGGCAGGUGAGCCCAACCGCCCUGCAGGGCCAGAAGCAAGUCAACAUAGGAUUGCGUCAUCUGCAGCUCUCAGUCUGAAGAACUGUGGGUAACACAGUGUGCUGAUAACCCCACUCCCUGUCUUGCAGUAGGAGCUCACACUGUUGACAAUUAACCCGAUCCAAGAGACCCACAUAAAUCAAUCACUACAGGGAAAAAAAAAAUUGUUCUUGAUCUACAGUGACAUAUGUAUAGACAAGGUCAGUGGCCCGGGUUUACAACCUUGCUGUCUGAAGUGAGAAUCAGGGGAGGAAGCUGCCGAUAGAAGAUAGGGGCAUUUCCAAGAAUUUCCAGAGACCCAUGCUGAGCAACCUGCUUUGCAUUGGACAUUCCCGCCCUCAGGUCUGUUUCCUUCCCUUGACAUUUGAUGCCCUCUGCACUGGUAUGUUUUGUGUUGCUAUAAAGGAGUACCUGGGACUGGGUAAUUUAAAAGGAAAAGAGGUUUAUUUGACUCAUGGUUCUGCAGGCUGUUCCAGAAGCAUGGCACCGGCAUCUGCUGGGCUCUCAGGAAGCUUUUCUGGAAGGGGGAAGGCAGGGGGAGCAGGCGUGGCUCUUGGUGAGAGAGGGAGCAGGAGAGACAGCAGGAGGUGCCAGGUUCUUUUAAACUAAAAUCAUACAGUGAGAACUCAUCACCACAGAGAGGGCACCAAGCCAUUCACGAGGGAUCCACCCCCGUGGCCCAUUUGCCUCCCAGCAAGCUGCACUCCAACACUGGGGAUCACAAUUCGACAGGAGAUUUGGAGGAGACAAUCAUCCAAACCGCAUCACCCUCUUUUGGGUUUCUGACUCAGUGUUGUCCCCAGUCCCACAGACUUGCAAUUCCCAAA
rnacentral:lncRNA from 1 species